rnacentral:rRNA from 1 species
UACGUAGGGUGCGAGCGUUAAUCGGAAUUACUGGGCGUAAAGCGUGCGCAGGCGGCGCCGCAAGUCAGGCGUGAAAUCCCCGAGCUUAACUUGGGAAUGGCGCUUGAAACUACGGUGCUGGAGUGUGGCAGAGGGAGGUGGAAUUCCACGUGUAGCGGUGAGAUGCGUAGAGAUGUGGAGGAACACCGAUGGCGAAGGCAGCCUCCUGGGCCAACACUGACGCUCAUGCACGAAAGCGUGGGGAGCAAACAGG